GUUGCCUCUUGUUUCCUUUUUCUCUUAAGGGUUUUUCAUAGAAAAACCAUGAUCUACGGAGAUUCAACCGUCCAAACUCAAAUCCGAUUUCGAUAACGUGAUCUACGUUUUUACCAAUCGUUUUGAGGUAAUGGGUUACUUGGAACUUACUUGAACCUACCCAAAUCAUGAGUUUUAGUUUGGUGAAAUUUCGGUACAUGUUAUGGAACGUGUACGUUAUGUUGGCUAAGCGACACGUAAUCGUGCCACUGUGAAGAUCCGUUUGUAUGUUUUCAAAAAAAAAAAAAACAGGUCGUCACAGUGGGCGUCCGGACAGUAAGCAGCAACUAACUUCUUUUCACAAGGUCUCACGAGUUUCUUCAUUAUUCUUCAGUCUCCGCGUCUGGACGGUGUUGCCCUAGCGUCCAGACGGUUUCAUGUUGUCUUCACUGUGGUUGGUGUUUGCUGAGUUUUUCGGAUACUUCUUAAACAUUGAUGGGCUUCUGGACGUUUCCUGUGCUUCCAGACGGUAACUAGGGAACCGACUUUGUUGAGCUGUAUACUGCACAGAAUCUUCCUGGACUCCGAAAAUUGCCUUCUUGAUGCCAAGUUGGAGAAUUAAACUCUGAAUAUUUACGGCAUCCCUGUUACGGCAGUACACUGGGCAGUACACUGAUAUGGUAGUGAUUUUGUCAACAUAAUGUAGCCAAUAAACUAACAAACUCUCCCUUUAGCCAUUCUAGGACAAAAAUCACUUGACCGGUGAAAAAUACAAAAACUGGUCCAAAAUUAAAAAUACUCUCCCUUUUUGUUUCAAAAGGAUAAAGGGUAAACAAAGUACUAAAAACCACAGUAUAAAUAGUACUAAUAUUCAACAAAAUAUGAAUAAAAGAAAAAGUUUCUCAAACAGUAGCCCAAAUAAACAGAAGUUUGUAAAACAAAACAACUGUAAGAUAUGAGUGAUAGCACUCAAUUCUCCUCAUCAUCAACCUCAGGCUCUAAGCGUUGUAGACAAUGCUCAACAUUGAGGUUGAUUUGUUGCACUUUGGCAUCAAGAUCUAAAAUAUUGCUGCUAGAGAGUCUACAGCUAGCCCAUAAUCCUGAAAAGCAUCUUAUCAAUUGCGGGAGGAGGGACAACCUGUGAGGAAAAGGCUGCAGAGGGAUCAAACUGGGCUGGUGGAGCAGGUGGAGGAGACUGUGCUAUCUGUGGCUCCUCAACCCAUGGCAGUUGUGAAUCAGACUUCAUAAUCGUGUGCUUGCCAAACGAAUCCUCAGGUCUUUGCACUGGCUCCAGAGCAGGAAUAGCAGGGACAUACUGCUGGCAGAUCCUCAUCACCAAGCACCCAAAAGGAAGACAACUUUGAUGGUCAUCCUUCAUCUCCAGGAUCGUGAGCACGAUGUGUUUGCAGAGGCAAAAGGGUACUCUAUGGAUGAUAGCAUAAAGGAAUCUGAGUCUGCAAAGAGUGAGCUGACUGCAUCGUGGCCAUAAAUUCUGCAAGACAAUCCUAGCAAGCAGUCUGUGAGGAGAGCUGAACUAUCCAAUCCUGAUGCUCUGUGAAUCCCUAUCUCUAUUAUUGGGAGCAAAGAAGAACAUCAUUUCUUCCAUGGAGGGGGGAUCCACAGAAUUUGGAUAGUGUACCCCUAUAAGCUGUCUGAGGGACACCUAUGAAGUUGCUGAUAAGCUCCACAUCCACCCUGAUAGAUACUCCUCUGACAGUGGUCUGAAGAGUGAGCCAAUCCUCAGCAUCAGGAACUAUCUCUAUGUAGGCAUAAAAAUUAUUGACAAGGCGUGUGUGCACUGGAUUGGAACAGCUGUACAAAAAUUGCCAUCUGUUCUCCCUGAUUAUCUCAUCGAUGAAAGAGAACGGUGCAACCAUAAUGUCAGCUCUGAUGACAUUUCUCUCCAUAAUGACUUGUCUCCUUUCUGCUUUAGCUCUGGCAGUUCUAAAAUCUGCCUGUGUCCGCUAUCUAACUCUACGCUCGAAACUGCUGGCUAACAUGAUCCUGAAAAUAUUAAAAUAUUCCCCAAAAAUAAUACCAAAAAACCAAUUAGAUUUUUUUAGCUUCAGAAAAUUUUAGGCAUUAUGACGGCUGUAAUUUGGAUGCCCAAACAUUUCACAUAUGAAAACAUAGCAAUCCAAUAAACCUAGAUAAAUCAAAUCCAACCCCAGCAGGCAGCAGAAAAUAUUUUUAUGCAUAAUAUCUCCAAAAAAAAAAAAAAAAAACCAGAACACUUAAUCCAAUAUUCUAAAAAGCAUCAAAACAUUAAAAGAAACAAAGGGAACUGUAAAAAUACCUGGAAUGAGAUGAAAUAUGCAGAAAAUGACAAAAAGAGUCGAAAACUCAAGAGAAAUCACAAGAUACCGCAUAAAAUAUCGAAAAAAUCAGAUAAGAGAGAAAUGGAGUGCGGCAGCUAGGGAAAAAUCGGGUUUUAUAACCCUAGGGUGCGCGUCUGGACGAGUUACUAACUCGUCCAGAUGGCUCUGCCAGAUCAGCAGGCCGCGCGCGUCCAAACAAUUUACACAAAAAAGCUGAAUAUAGAGAAAAAAAUGCAGAAAAAUAAUUUCUUCCUAAUGAUAACUUCAAACACACAUAUAUCAAAAACUGAUAACACAGUCAAAUAACAAAUAAAAAAUAUGCAAACAUAUAAUUAAGAGUUAAGUAAUCAAUGAGCAUUG